GACGAACGCUGGCGGCGUGCCUAAUACAUGCAAGUAGAACGCUGAAGGAGGGGCUUGCUUCUCUGGAUGAGUUGCGAACGGGUGAGUAACGCGUAGGUAACCUGCCUGGUAGCGGGGGAUAACUAUUGGAAACGAUAGCUAAUACCGCAUAACAGUAGAUGUUGCAUGACAUUUGCUUAAAAGGUGCAAUUGCCUCACUACCAGAUGGACCUGCGUUGUAUUAGCUAGUUGGUGAGGUAACGGCUCACCAAGGCGACGAUACAUAGCCGACCUGAGAGGGGGAUCGGCCACACUGGGACUGGGACACGGCCCAGACUCCUAAGGGAGGCAGCAGUAGGGAAACAUCGGCAAUGGACGGAAGGCUGACCGAGCAACGCCGCGUGAGGGAAGGAGGGUUUCGGAUCGGAAAGCUCUGUUGUAAGAGAAGAAAGAGUGGGAGAGUGGAAAGUUCACACUGUGACGGUAUCUAAACAGAAAGGGACGGCUAACUACGUG
rnacentral:rRNA from 1 species